UACAGAGACUGCAAGCGUUAUUCGGAUUCACUGGGCGUAAAGGGUGCGUAGGCGGUCGGGAAAGUUUGAUGUGAAAGCUCCGGGCUCAACCUGGAAAUGGCAUUGAAAACUAUUCGACUAGAGGAUUGUAAGGGAGACUGGAAUUCUCGGUGUAGCAGUGAAAUGCGUAGAUAUCGAGAAGAACACCAGUGGCGAAGGCGAGUCUCUGGACAAUUCCUGACGCUGAGGCACAAAAGCUAGGGGAGCAAACAGG
rnacentral:rRNA from 1 species